GUACUGCUGAAGAGUCCUGAACUAGGACGAAACAGCUGUUCAGUAC
rnacentral:hammerhead_ribozyme from 1 species